CUUGUCCUGUUCCUUUUCUGCCCCGCUGAGCCCCGCCACACCUUGCCCCGUCCACCCAGUUCCUGUACGAUCCUGUUAGUCCCUGUUUGUUCCUGCCCACUUCUGCCCGGUUCUGCCCGGUUCUGCCUUCUUCCUGUACCGCCCCACUCGGUCUUCUUCCUGUACCGCCCCUGCACACCCUUCUCACGCCUUGCCACGCCCUGCCCUAUCCUACCGGGUCCUGCUCUGGCCUUUCCCAUCACACCCUGCCCUGUCCUGUCCCAUCCUGCUUUGUUCUGUCCCUCCCUGUCCAGUCCGUCUUAGUCCAGCCCCAUUCUGCUUUUGUGCUUCUUUGCGCCGGGCUUCGCGUUACCGGAGCCAAGGCUGUUGUAGGUUCUGCACAACCUGGCUCCUGGACGUCAGCGUUGGGAGGCGGACUGAUGUCGCUAGAGCCCAGCCUGAGCCAGGCCAGAGAUGCAGACUCCUGGUGUAGCUGGCAGCAGUAUGGUCCAGACUCACCGAGAAAGGCGGCUUCGAUGAGCCCCUCCACCGCGCAGACCCCCAGAAAGUGGAGCUAGUGUGGGGGCUGCUCCAGUGAAAUGACCGAUGGCUGAAGCUGCAUCUCUCCAGCCUGGGGGGCUGGCCCCCAUUGUCAGUCAGGUCACUAGAAAAACAGGCAACUCCAGUCGAUUUCAGUUACUGUGGUUCCUUUUGUGAGCUUGAACACGCACAAGUGUUCAUGCACACAUCCUGAUAUCAAAGAAGGGGAAACCCAGGCAGCAAAACCUGGCCCGGAGGAGAAGGGAGAAGAUUUUUCCUCAGUGACUCCUAAACUCCUUGUAGCUGUGUGGGGUGUCUUUGGAGACUGGCUACAGCCUCCCACUUCGGGUCUGAGGAUGUAAGACAGAAAUACCUCCAGUCGACUGAAAGCAUUUGUAAGCAUGUUUGUGUGCAUCUUUUAGUCCGCUGUGUGUUGUCACUGGCGCCUGCUUGGUCCAGCGCUGGGCUGGGCCCUGGGGACGUAGAUGAGUCAGGUCUGCAUGCUGAACCCCGUGCCCAGUGGUGGCCACUCUGGCUGUACCUGUUGCCUUGCCCAGAGUUGUGGGCUGUUCUUUGAGAGAACUCAGUCGGGGCCCCGGUGAGCUGUGGUUCCUGCUUUGUGGCCUGGACACAGACACAGAACCUUUCAUCCUCUGCUCAGUACCUCUUGUCCCCAGACAAGCCUUCCUUAUGGGCAGUGUAUGCACGCCACUGGCUUCCUGUAGGGGCCUACCUCUCCCUGGGACUAGCCACCCAGCUGCUGCUUGCCACAGCGGGCCACCUGAGACUCACCCACCUCCCCCAAUAUUCUCCCACCCCUCCACUGUUCAACAGGCAGCCACACUCCACCUCCACCACUCAGAUUGUAGCUCCAGACCUGGCCUUGUCCUCCAGGCUGCUCUAGUUUCUUAGAAAUUCCUAGUCUUGCCCUUCCUGCUCUCUCUCUCUCCAGCUAACCCCCAGCCUUCCUGAACUGUCUCUCCCUGCUGCCUGUGUCUCCACCUUAGGGGGCUUCUCCCUAAGGAAGGGCAUUGGCCAUGUCAGUACUGGGCCAGGUGUGGAUGACCUGUGAGGUGUUCACUGAAUGAGUGGUAUGGAAUUUCUGCCCUUCUCUAGAAGCUGGAGCCAAAAGAAUACAUCACAACAGCUUGCAGCCGAGAGCCACAGCUGAGAUCAAAGGCGAUAUUUUUACAGCAACUGAAAUAGAAAACCACUGGACACAUGGUGGGAGGUCAGAAUCCAGACUAACAAUCCAGAAAUUGUCGGAGUGGAACCCAGCUCUCCAGACUUCAACAGCCUGCCCCAGGGAUUCUGCUGGAAGCUGAAGUUGAGAAUCCUGUACUGCUGCCUUGUUUUCCAUAAGGUUAGGCUAACACAUGGGCUGGGUGUGAACCUGGGCCAGGCAUCCUUUUAGCCAUACAAAUAUUAACUCAGGGAAGUUCACAAAUGACUCCGUGAGAAAACCUAAUGAAGUGGAGGUGCACAGUGGCAGAGGAAACCAGGCAGCUUUGAGCAGCCAAAAGGAUUCUAGAGUCAAGCUCUUCUGGGCUGAGACAAAAAUCCCCAGCAGUGUGUCUGGCUCCUAGAGGACAUUCUGGGCCUGGCUGAGAAUGCGGUCCUACAGGUGGCAUUACCUCACCUGAGAGAGACGAUGGCCCCCGUUCUCUGAGAUCUGCUGCUUUGUCAAGACUGAGGUAUAUGUCAUCUGCAACGCCAACUUCAGUGUCUGGAACCCUGGGGAAUGUUAGCCUCGCCCUGCACCAGGCCACAAACUCAAAAUGACAUCCUGGGCUUUUGAAACACCUCACUAUACGGGACACAGAGUAGUGGUCUCUCACAGGGAGCUGGGACCUCAGUUUGACCUCUCCGAACCUCUGUUUCUUCUUCUAUGAAGUGAAGGGCAAUAGUUGUAAAUCCACAGGGCUUCUGUGAGUUUGGGAAUGGUGAUGUUUGUCACACCCAGAAGUGUGCACAGAGCAGCAGGCUGUGGUUAAGCCGACUACCCUCCUUCUCCCCCUGCCUUCUGGUGGCUUUGGGGAAUACCAGCGUCCAGAAAAGUUCAAAGGAAGAAGCAAGUUCCCAAAUGAACCAAGUGUACUUGGCCUCCAGCCCCUCGGCUCUCUCCAUCUCCUGGGCACAGGGCUCCGGGGAGGUUUUGGAGGUUAAACACAGGCGCCUGCUAUAUCCUGGCAGAAACUUAGUUACCUGUGUUGAGGAGCACCAGCUCUACCACCCCUCACCACAUCUCACACGCCACAGCACACUGGCCAGGCCAGGCCAAACUAGGCUUCCGCAAUCACUGUUAUGUUUGGGGACCAGUUGCCGCCAGACUGAGAACAUCUGAAGCUCGUAAACUGCAGGUUCCCUGGGGGCUGACCCCCACUUUGGCUUGGGGAGAAUUACCCAUAGACAGAGCUUGCAAGGGAUGCAAAAGAAGACCAGGUGAGGGGUGGCCAUGAAGGUAGGGGGAGGCAGCAUCUCUGGAGUAGCCUCUGGGGACCUAAGGAGAGAGAGCUGAGAAGGCUAGGAGGAGAGUCCCAGGCCUGGCUCAGCUCCAGCCCAGAGUGGCUCACCAGUUAUGCAGCCUGGGGGGCAGGGCCUGGUUUUUCCUCUCUAGGCCUCAGUGCCCAUGUGUGUACAUCACUGGAAGGGGCUGACUGGAAGGGUCUACACACAGAAGGCUUUUGCAUUCUAGAAUUUUGGGCCUCUGAGGUCUAGCUUAGUGCUAUAGGGAGGUAAACAAUCGGUAAUUCAACCAGGGGCAAGUCAGUGCGAGGGAACCAUGACUCCAUUCAGUCCUGGAGAUCACAGGAGAGUCAGGAGCAGAAGGCCAAGAGUAUGACCCCAUAGCUCAGAACCAUCAACUUAGGGUUCUCAGUGCCUAAAAGUAGCACAAAUGGUUAUACUAGCCAGAGACGGGGCAGAUAGGAACCUUCCAGAAGCAGGGCUUGCAGCUGGGUGCAUGGUCCAGAAGCCAAGGGCUUCUCCUUAGGACUCACUGCCCUUACCUUUCUCUCCCUUAGACCACAGCCAACAUUCACUGAGAACUUUUUAUGAUCAUGCCCUGCGGGGUUCUAGGCCAUACACAUACAUUAAAAGCAAUUCAACUUCCCAGUGUGCCAGGUCCUGAUGCCUGACAAGCCUGGAAUGUGGUCACCACAGGGAGUCUCAAGACACCUAACAGGGCGGGCAGGCUGGUCCUAACACUACCCUGACCUCAGGCAGCCUCCUGUUCCCCCUUAGGACCCAUGUCUCUGAAAAGCUGUGGCCUGGUGAGCCUGAGACUCACACACCUCGGUGACACAACCUCUCCUCAGAGAUGCCUGCUGUGGGCAUUGGGGUGGACACGUCUCCCAGACGGUACAUCUGGCUUUGGGAAUGAGAGCAUGCAUGUGGCCAGAGUGGGCUUUCCUCAGCCUUGGUUCUGCUCUGGGUGCCUUACUUCUCAGAGUAUCCCUCAAGCACAGGCCGCAGAGUGCCUCUGAGCUGGGAGCCUUUGAUUCAUUGAACUUCAAAGAUUAUACGUCUAAAGGCCCAGUCACAACAGGACCACUCUAAACACACUGUCACAAUUAAACACUUGAUCAUUUUCAAAUAAGAAAAACUAGCUGGAGGUCUGUAGAAAAUACAGACUAGCUGUGAAUAUGUGAAAACAUACCUUGGGUUAGUUCCUCAGAGAAAUUCCAACCCAUUACUCCAUCCUCUUACUCCCCCCACCUCUGCACUGAUCUGAAACGCCCUCCUCCAACCCCAGACAUAAUCAAUAUCUCACUACUUUUGCCAACAGCUGUUACCUGAGGAAUCCUUGACAGCAGAUC